rnacentral:rRNA from 1 species
AAAGACCUUAUGCUUUUGGAGCGGCCGAUGUCUGAUUAGCUAGUUGGUAGGGUAAUGGCUUACCAAGGCGACGAUCAGUAGUUGGUCUGAGAGGACGACCAGCCACACUGGGACUGAGACACGGCCCAGACUCCUACGGGAGGCAGCAGUGGGGAAUUUUGGACAAUGGGCGCAAGCCUGAUCCAGCAAUGCCGCGUGAGUGAAGAAGGCCUUCGGGUUGUAAAGCUCUUUCAGUUGAGAAGAAAAAGUCGUGACUAAUAAUCAUGAUUCAUGACGGUAUCAACAGAAGAAGCACCGGCUAACUACGUGCCAGCAGCCGCGGUAAUACGUAGGGUGCAAGCGUUAAUCGGAAUUACUGGGCGUAAAGGGUGCGCAGGCGGUUCUGUAAGUCAGAUGUGAAAUCCCCGGGCUUAACCUGGGAACU